rnacentral:rRNA from 1 species
UGAGGAAUACUGGUCAAUGGGCGCGAGCCUGAACCAGCCAAGUAGCGUGAAGGAUGAAGGUCCUAUGGAUUGUAAACUUCUUUUAUAGCAGAAUAAAGUGACCCACGUGUGGGUUUUUGUAUGUAUGCUAUGAAUAAGGAUCGGCUAACUCCGUGCCAGCAGCCGCGGUGAUACGGAGGAUCCGAGCGUUAUCCGGAUUUAUUGGGUUUAAAGGGUGCGUAGGCGGAAAGAUAAGUCAGCCUGUGAAAGUUUGCGGCUCAACCGUAAAAUUGCAGUUGAUACUGUUUUGCUUGAGUGUACAUAAGGUAGGCGGAAUUCGUGGUGUAGCGGUGAAAUGCUUAGAUAUCACGAAGAACUCCGAUUGCGAAGGCAGCUUACCGGGGUACAACUGACGCUGAUGCACGAAAGUGUGGGUAUCAAACA